rnacentral:rRNA from 1 species
AGUGAACGCUGGCGGUAGGCCUAACACAUGCAAGUCGAACGGCAGCACAGUAAGAGCUUGCUCUUACGGGUGGCGAGUGGCGGACGGGUGAGGAAUACAUCGGAAUCUACUUUUUCGUGGGGGAUAACGUAGGGAAACUUACGCUAAUACCUCAUACGACUUACGGUUGAAAGCAGGUGAUCUUCGUACCUUGCGCGAUUUAAUGAGUCGUUGUCGGAUUAGCUAGUUGGCGGGGUAAAGGCCCACAAAGGCGACGAUCCGUAGCUGGUCUGAGAGGAUGAUGAGCAAAACUGGAACUGGGAAACGGUCAAAAUUCCUAGGGGAGGCGGAAGAGGGGAAUAUUGGACAAUGAGGGAAAGCUGGAUCAAGAAAUACCGCGUAGGGAAGGAGGGCUUUCGAGUGGUAAAGCCCGUUUGUAGAGAAAGACAAGCGGCAGGGUAAAAACCCGAUGUACUGACGGUACCCAAAGAAUAAGCAACGGCUAACUUCGUG